CCACGGGGCGUGGUCAAGGCGGCGGCCCCUAGAGGGGGAGAGGGUCUGUGUGCACGUGGACCCGUCCUGGAGCGGCGAGAAUCCGGAGUUUCCAGGGAAGUGAAGCAGCAAAAGCAGGUGCCCUUCUCCAGUCCGGCGGGUGGGGGUGGCCCUCCAGCAACUGGAACGCAAAGCCUCUGCACGCUGGUCCUUCCUGAGCCUCUCGGGAAAUGAGUUCUUCCCUGGUCCAAGCUGAGAAGGGAGGAAAAGUGUUAAAUCUGACACUGGGUUUCACACUCAGUGUUUUAGAUGUUAUUCUUUAGGUUUGUCAUUUCCCAUUCACGUUGGUGACGCCACAAGUCCGUAUCGCUAACCAGAUCCUGCUCAAAAACCACAGGCUUCUGACAGCCGCCUAGUGGACGCUUUCACCUGGAAGUCCUGCAGACCCCUCACAAUUCAGUCGUUAAAAGCUGGUUUCACGAUUUCAUUAGGACCCCUAUCUUACUACCACCUCUGCCACAUUUGGUAAAACUGGGCAGUUGGCCAAGGCAAAAGGAAGAGCUCUGGGCUUCCCUGGUGGCGCAGUGGUUGAGAGUCCGCCUGCUGAUGCAGGGGACACGGGUUCGCGCCCCGGUCCGGGAAGAUCCCACAUGCCGUGGACUGGCUAGGCCCGUGAGCCAUGGCCGCUGAGCCUGCGCGUCCGGAGCCUGUGCUCCGCAACGGGAGAGGCCACAACAGUGAGAGGCUCGCGUACCGGAAAAAAAAAAAAGGAAGAGCUCUGUCCUAGGGUCAUUCUUCACACUCUCCUCCACUGUGACACCUGGGACAUUGUACUGAGCAUCUGUAGUAGAAACCACAUCUGCACUGCCUCUGCCUUGGUUCACGUGUUCACCUUUUCCCUCUCUUGUAGACUUUCACCUCUUUUUUGAGUCUCCGUGCCUCUGUGUAGUCUUACAACACUGUCCUCCCAUGCUGCCAGCUGAUAAAUGGAAUAUUGCCUGUCGUAUCAGUAAACAGAGAAUGUCAGUCAUCAGCGAUUGCAGCCACAGCUGAUGGUGAGCUGAUGCGCCUUGAGGAAACUCAGGAUAUUAAAACACAGGAUGCUGGCCCCAGAUAGCUGAGGUGCAUAUCAAAGGAAUGAUUUCGGGGCUGAAACGACUCGCCAGCACCUUUGUGCUCAAAGGAACUUCCCUGGAGCCCAGAUGUAUGACUAAGGAAGGAUGGCGAAUAGACAGUCACUCAUUCAUUCUGGAUUUAUUGAGUACCCACCGCGUGCCAGACUGUGCGCUAAGUGCUGAGGUUUAUGACUGUAAACAAAGCAGCCAUGGGCCCUGCCCCCAUGGAGUCACAGGCCAGUGAGAAGGACGGAUACUGAACAAAUGGACACAAACUUAUUUACGCAACUACAAGUUGAGAUGUGUACUAUGAAAGAAAAGAGCAGGGUGUCUGACAGAGAAUGACUGGGGUACCUGAUUUUGGAAGAAGAUCUACAAGGCCUCUGAGAGAAAAGGCCAUCUAUGCUGAGACGUGCCGUCAGCCAGGCAAAGAAGAGGAGGAAGAGUGUUUGAAGCAGUGGAUCCUCAGGCAGAGGUCCUGAAGCAGCAAAGAGCUUGGUACAUUCCAGGGACUUCAGACAAACCAACCAACAACAAGUGAGUAAAAGUAGAGGAGACUGGAGAAAUGAGGGUCCAGGAAGGGCCUUGUAAACUCUAUCAGACAAGAUCCCAGAGGAAAUAGAUAGCACCCUCAAGCUGGGUAGAGAGUUUAAUAAAGGACUAUUAGGGGGGCUUCCCCGGUGGCGCAGUUGUUAAGAGUCCGCCUGCCAAUUCAGGGGACGCGGGUUUGAGCCUCGGUCCGGGAAGAUCCCACAUGCCGCGGAGUAGCUGAGCCCGUGUGCCACAACUACCGAGCCCUCAUGCCACAACUACUGAAGCCUGAGUGCCUAGAGCCCAUGCUUCACAACAAGAGAAGCCACCACAGUGAGUAGCCCAUGCACUGCAAUGAAGAGUAGCCCCUGCUCGCCGCAACUAGAGAAAGCCCGUGCACAGCAACAAAGACCCAACGCAGCCCAAAAUAAAAUAAAUAUAUAAAAUUUCAAAAGAGGACUAUUAGGGAUUGUGUAAAGCCCUGAGGCUCCUAACAGCAGAUGGGCCAAGAAAGGAAGUGGUCACCAGAACCUGAGAAAUAGGGCCACCUGCCAGAGCCGUGGCCUUGGGUCAGGAGAUGCAGCAACUCAUGGCAACCUGGAAGGAAGGGGACUGGGAGUGUUCGUACUGUGACCUCAGUGCAGGGAGGCCAGGGUGUGAGGGAGGAGGAUACGAGGACAGUCUGUGGAGGCCGGCCUCCCAGAGGAUAGAGUGGAGAAGGCAUGUGGAACGGAAGACAUCACAUACACCUUGGGGCAGCCGAGGGCUUCUCUAUCCCUCCCCAGUGCUGCCAUUUCCCUGUUUAUCCUUCUACCUCAUUUAAUCUAGUGCAGCCACUUACUCUGGAAAUCCAGAAUGAAGGGUAGUGUAGUGCAGUGGCUCUCCAGCCUAAGUGGGCACCAGCAGCACCUGGAGGGCUGGCUAAGCUACACGGCUGAGCCCCAUCUCAGUGUCUGACUCGUUGGGCUGAGGCUUGAGAGUCUGCAUUUCUAACAAUUUGCACUCCCAAGUGUUAUUUAUUUUUUUAACAUCUUUAUUGGGGUAUAAUUGCUUUACAAUGGUGUGUUAGUUUCUGCUUUAUAACAAAGUGAAUCAGUUAUAUAUAUACAUAUGUUCCCAUAUCUCCCCCCUCUUGCGUCUCCCACCCUCCCUAUCCCACCCCUCUAGGUGGUCACAAAGCACCGAGCUGAUCUCCCUGUGCUAUGCAGCUGCUUCCCACUAGCUAUCUACCUUACGUUUGGUAGUGUAUAUAUGUCCAUGCCACUCUCUCGCUUUGUCACAGCUCACCCUUCCCCCUCCCCAUAACCUCAAGUCCGUUCUCUAGUAGGUCUGUGUCUUUAUUCCAAGUGUUAUUGAGACAGCUGUCUUGGGACAUUUUGCUAACUACUGUGUAGUAACUGACAAGAGUGUAUAGACUCUGGAAUUAAAUGGGACUUGUUUCAGA